CUGGGAGUAUCUGCAUACUUCAAUGACACCUGAAGCUACACAGAACUGUGUUGGGCCGAGGCUGAUAUUUUUAAAACUAUAUUUUGUGCUGUAUUCAAAUAUUCUUGAACAGAAAAGCAAUCCUGAGGAAGAAAGAGUGUGCCAAAGCCAGACCCUCCCCCAGCUUGUGUCUGAGCAGAGAUCUGCUGGGAUCCCUGAGUUCUUUCCCACAACAUCUGCCGCUCAAUGCUCAUGGUCUUCGACUCAUAAGCCCACCUCUGACCUCCACCUCAUGCCAAAUGUCCCACAUUUUAUAAUCGUAACCAGGGCUACAGCACUACAGAUUGUCUGCCAGCAGCAGUUUGUCUCCGUUUAUUCCACCAAUUUGGGGAGAGCAGAAGAAAAUGUGAGAAGAGGUAUAACUGCUCCCAGAACUCCACCCCUCCUUACAUUCAUUUUUCCAAAACCCAUCAGUCAGAUCCUCACUGUGAGGACGGCAGAGACCAUUUCUGGUUAUUCCCCACGAAGCCAAGUCUGCCACUCCAAACUACCAACCUACUUUGCAAAUAACACCAUGUGGGGAGCAGUAUUGCAAUCUUUACUGUUUCAGAGAGAUUUUUUUUUCUCUGAGCACUCAGAAAAAUUGCAUUCUGUUCCAAAGUAGCUACAUGCCAAGCUUCAAACUGAAGUUAUUUUGGGGUUAUCCAAGCAAGCAAGAAAAGAAAACACACAUCCCCCAAAUGCUUUGACUACAGAAAUUUAUGUUCAGGGUCUAAAUAUCUCAGGAGAUGCCUAAAAGACUUUAGUGAAUCAUGAAAAAAAGUCACUUGAAAGCACACGGGUCAAAUAAAGUAUGAAAAAUAUCAAACUACAGGAAAAAUUAUCUAUGUGAGGAAGCGUGACUUUAAAACUUCAGAAUCAGAGUUCC
ensembl:lncRNA